UAAAUCUGUUCCUCUCAGUGAUUGAGAUUCUUCUCCAUGUUAAAUAUUUCUUUUUUACUAUUCCUCUGUCCUCUUCAUCUAAACCUGUCUGCCCUCUCUUUCCCCAGAAAUUGCAAGAAUUGGAAGGCGCAGCGGUCCAGCUUCAGUAUCCAUUGAGAUCAAACCUAAAGAAAUGGACCCAUCUCUAUUCAAAAUGAAUUUCCUUUAUACAAAAACCACAAAGGAAACUGAAGCUACAUUUCUAAAUACUGAAAAGCAAAGAAUAAAAGUGCUUUUCAAAAAAGAAUGAUGUUUAAGUGCAUUCAUACUCAAAGAUUCUCAGAAAUUGACUCAUCUUAUAUGCUAUGGGAAGGAAUUUAAGGGUAUGGCCCCAAAACCUGUGCUCUGAUCAUCAGUCAAAAGCUCUGAAUAUUAUGCUGUGUCCUUCUUGAUCAGUGAGAAAAGAGAGGCUAAAAAGGAUUGUGGAAGUGGCUGGGGACCUACCUGCAAGUCACAGCAAUGGCAUUUAAAAAUUAAAGGUAAGGCAAAGACAAACACUGCUGCCCUAGACUGUAGCACAGUGCAAAGCAAAGAGCAAGAGAGAGAGUUUCAUGGAAGAGGGGAUGUCCAACUCAAGCUUCUCCUCUGUGACAUUUCUCAGAGUAAGUUGUAUUUCAGAUUAGUAGCCCUUGGCAGUAGUCUGGAGAAAGAUGAGAUUUUAGUGUGAUAUGCUACACAGGCAUGGGGGGAAAGCAAAGAGUAUGUGCGAAAAAUUGAAAUGACAAGGUCAUGUUGAUAGCUUGGUUGUGGGAGCUGCCGCGGUAGUUUGUUGCAUUAUGAUUAGAGAUGGGCCAGCUAGCAAGAAUGAGAUGAGAGCUGGUUCAAACCUUCAUCCACUCCUCUAACCAGACUGAAGUGGGGCCCAUGGUGAGGCUGAAACACAUCUAGCACUGGUACAUUUGGUUUCUCAACAUGAUUUAAUGAGCUUCUGCUUCUGAUAAUUUAGCUCAGAA
rnacentral:lncRNA from 1 species